rnacentral:rRNA from 1 species
AACGAACGCUGGCGGCAUGCCUAACACAUGCAAGUCGAACGAGACCUUCGGGUCUAGUGGCGCACGGGUGCGUAACGCGUGGGAACCUGCCCUUAGGUUCGGAAUAACUCCCCGACAGGGGUGCUAAUACCGGAUAAUGUCUUCGGACCAAAGAUUUAUCGCCUUUGGAUGGGCCCGCGUUGGAUUAGCUCGUUGGUAGGGUAAAAGCCUACCAAGGCGACGAUCCAUAGCUGGUCUGAGAGGAUGAUCAGCCACACUGGGACUGAGACACGGCCCAGACUCCUACGGGAGGCAGCAGUGGGGAAUAUUGGACAAUGGGCGAAAGCCUGAUCCAGCAAUGCCGCGUGAGUGAUGAAGGCCUUAGGGUUGUAAAGCUCUUUUACCCGGGAUGAUAAUGACAGUACCGGGAGAAUAAGCGCCGGCUAACUCCGUG